UACGAAGGUCCCGAGCGUUAUCCGGAUUUAUUGGGUUUAAAGGGUGCGUAGGCGGGUUAUUAAGUCAGUGGUGAAAGGCCUUCACGCUUAACUGAAGAAUUGCCAUUGAUACUGAUGAUCUUGAGUAUGAUUGAGGUGGGCGGAAUGUGUCAUGUAGCGGUGAAAUGCUUAGAUAUGACACAGAACACCGAUUGCGAAGGCAGCUCACUAAGCCAUAACUGACGCUGAUGCACGAAAGCGUGGGGAGCAAACAGG
rnacentral:rRNA from 1 species